UAUUUGGAGCUAAGAUUUAGGUUUGAGUAUAAUCUUCCUUUUGUUGAUAUGAUGUUCUAGUUAUUUUAAUUCGUUUUUUAUAAAAGAGGAUUAGAUACCCUUGUAUAGGCGGUUUAAGUUUGUUUCCUUAGUAUAAACUAAAAGGAUUUGGCAGCUGAUGAGAUUCUGCCGGGGGAACGUGUAUCGUAAUAGAUAGUCCACUUAGUAGUUGACCUCUUUUAGUUUUGUUAGUGUAUAUCCGGUUUAAUAUUUGUGGUUAGUGCCAUUGAGUGUAAUACUUUUAUUAUUUAAGCCAGG
rnacentral:rRNA from 1 species